rnacentral:rRNA from 1 species
GCCUGUCCUACAACCGAUAACCCACGAUCAACCUCACCCGCCUUUGCAACAACAGUCUAUAUACCUCCGUCGCCAGCCCGCCUGAAAACAGAUACAAAGCGAGUGCAACAGUUCAUCACUAAGACGACAGGUCAAGGUGUAACUAAUAGGUUGGGCAGAGAUGGGCUACAUUUCCUAACAUAGAAAAUACCCACCCGCCAUGAAAUUUGCGCAAAAAGGUGGAUUUAGCAGUAAGUCAGGCAAGAAAAGCCUACCUGAAAACCGCCCUGAAAUGUGU